rfam:Vicugna pacos cont1.87119, whole genome shotgun sequence.
GGAUGAUGUCUUUAGGAUGCAGAUAGGAUUAUACACCCCAGAAUCGUCUUGCCAUUUUAAUAGGAGCUGUUCAACCCUUGGAUUCAUUCACCCUAGUGAUGAUGUCUUUGUGGCUGUUCAUCUUUUAGAGUGGCUGCUUAUCACAAUACUUAUCUUCCUUGUUUUAGGCAGA